AACGGGAAAGCUGAAAACCGAAAAGAGUAAGCG
rnacentral:ncRNA from 1 species